rnacentral:rRNA from 1 species
AGCUUGCUCCUCUUGAGAGCGGCGGACGGGUGAGUAAUGCCUAGGAAUCUGCCUGGUAGUGGGGGAUAACGUUCGGAAACGGACGCUAAUACCGCAUACGUCCUACGGGAGAAAGCAGGGGACCUUCGGGCCUUGCGCUAUCAGACGAGCCUAGGUCGGAUUAGCUAGUUGGUGAGGUAAUGGCUCACCAAGGCGACGAUCCGUAACUGGUCUGAGAGGAUGAUCAGUCACACUGGAACUGAGACACGGUCCAGACUCCUACGGGAGGCAGCGGUGGGGAAUAUUGGACAAUGGGCGAAAGCCUGAUCCAGCCAUGCCGCGUGUGUGAAGAAGGUCUUCGGAUUGUAAAGCACUUUAAGUUGGGAGGAAGGGCAGUACAUCAGUACUUUGCUGUCCUGACGUUACCGACAGAAUAAGGCCCGGCUAACUCUGUGCCAACAGCCGCGGUAAUACAGAGGGUGCCAGCGUUUAUCGGAAUUACUGGGCGUAAAGCGCGCGUA